CUUUCACCAAUCCUGAAACCUCCUGGACCUGACUCACAACCUGGUAACCUCUCCAGGAACUCUUAUUUAGACCAUCCCCAAUUCCUAAGACUGGAGGAAAAUUUUAAAUCACAAUUACCCUGAAACUUCUAGAAAAAACUUGCAUUUUUUUCUGUCUGUCCUUUGAAGUUCUACAUUUUUCCAUGUCUUUAGAAUGUAAACACCCCAGGAGAUAACAGCCCACAGUCACCUGAGACUAAACCUGGCUAGCUGAAUCAGUAAAGCCUGAGGUGAAAGAAAAAAAGGGGGGAAAUGUUUCAUUUUAAAUGCAGGCUGCUGGAGAAGCUCUCUCACCCCAAAUCUAAUUCAUAACCUCCUUAUCUACAGCAAAGAUAAAUCUUAAAGGUCUUCUCCACAAAUAUUAACAACAACAACUUUUAAGCAGUGCCCUCUUUGGAAAACAUGAACUAACUCCACGUGAGCCCAUCACCAGCACAUCACUGUUUGUUGGUUCACAACCUUCUGCUGAUGCCCAGUUGUCUUAUGUGAGUCUGACCAGCUACUGUGAGUCUCUACUGUCUUAUGCUCAAGCCCAUCAUCAACAGGUUAAAGACACCUUCCUGGAUUCCAAUUUAAAGGAUCUUGCUGGUCACAGUCUAGAGCAUGGCAACUGGAUAUUCUGGAAUCAUCAUCAGAGGAAGGCAGCCCUCGAGCCCUGUGGGAAAGAACCUUGGUGACUGAGGGACACGGCUUCCCAGGUCAGAGCCUUCCUGGCAAUGAGGGAAAUAUCAAUAUAUUGAACAGUUGCUCUGCGAUGCUUUCUCCUGAAAGAUCUUGAUCAAAAGGGGAAACAUGGACAGAGAUAACAAAAUAGAGUAACAUUAUCAAGGCUUCUAAAAUGGAGCUGGGAGGCCACUAAGGAAAUGGGCCUUAUGCACGCACCCCACGUCUCUAGCCAGAGGGAAUGUAGCUUUUGAACUGUGCUUCACAGUUGUCAUCUGGACCUUCUUCCAAGAAAUAUGUUUACUCUCAUAGAUAAGAACUUUCUGCUGUAGAGAUGGCCUUGCAACUGAUCACAUAGCCAAGAGUAACAGUUGUUUCCAGCACCAAUCACAAAUCUCACAAAACGACCUGUGUAACUUAGCUCUUUUUGCCUUUAUAAACCCCUGCAUCCCUGUCCUCCUCAGAAUACAUUUUGAAUUUCUGCCUGAAUCUGAGUCUCCUGAGUUGCAAUUCUAAUUGCCCAAAUAAAAAUCUGCUAUUUGAA